rnacentral:tRNA from 1 species
GGAGAGGUCGCAUAGUGGUUUAGUGCACCUGCUUGGAGAGCAGGAGUGUUCGCAAGGACACCGCGAGUUCGAAUCUCGCCCUCUCCGCCA